UGAAGUAUUAGCAUUGUCAGUCUGCAG
rnacentral:piRNA from 1 species